GAGUUUGAUCGUGGCUCAGAACGAACGCUGGCGGCAUGACUAACACAUGCAAGUCGAACGAACCCUUCGGAGUUAGUGGCGCACGGGUGCGUAACGCGUGGGAAUCUGCCCUUGGGUACGGAAUAACUCAGAGAAAUUUGUGCUAAUACCGUAUAAUGACUUCGGUCCAAAGAUUUAUCGCCCAAGGAUGAGCCCGCGUAAGAUUAGCUAGUUGGUGGGGUAAAGGCCUACCAAGGCUACGAUCUUUAGCUGGUCUGAGAGGAUGAUCAGCCACACUGGGACUGAGACACGGCCCAGACUCCUACGGGAGGCAGCAGUGGGGAAUAUUGGACAAUGGGCGAAAGCCUGAUCCAGCAAUGCCGCGUGAGUGAUGAAGGCCUUAGGGUUGUAAAGCUCUUUACCCGGGAUGAUAAUGACAGUACCGGGUAGAAUAAAGCUCCGGCUAACUCCGUGCCAGC
rnacentral:rRNA from 1 species